rnacentral:rRNA from 1 species
AGAACGAACGCUGGCGGCAGGCCUAACACAUGCAAGUCGAGCGCCCAGCAAUGGGAGCGGCGGACGGGUGCGUAACGCGUGGGAAUAUGCCUUUCGGUACGGAACAACUCAGGGAAACUUGAGCUAAUACCGUAUACGCCCUUAGGGGGAAAGAUUUAUCGCCGAAAGAUUAGCCCGCGUAGGAUUAGCUUGUUGGUGAGGUAAUGGCUCACCAAGGCGACGAUCCUUAGCUGGUUUGAGAGAACGACCAGCCACACUGGGACUGAGACACGGCCCAGACUCCUACGGGAGGCAGCAGUGGGGAAUCUUGGACAAUGGGGAAACCCUGAUCCAGCCAUGCCGCGUGAGUGAUGAAGGCCUUCGGGUUGUAAAACUCUUUCGACGGGGACGAUAAUGACGGUACCCGUAGAAGAAGCUCCGGCUAACUUCGCGCCAGCAGCCGC